rnacentral:lncRNA from 1 species
GAGGUGAGCAUGUAUGACUUUGUAGUGACUGCCAGAGGAUUUAAUUCCUUUCUUGCUUCCUUUUCUUUUAUUCAACUGAUAUCCACUUCACAGUUUGUGUUUGACAAUGGUCCUGCAUGUUAAGGGCCAAGGCCAGCCUUGGAAAUUUGUUUUUUUUUUUUAAAAAAAAAAAAAACCCUGCCUUGGAAAUUUGUGUUCCUUUUAAAUGCUAGUCAUCUAGUCAGUUUUGUAUUUUCACUGCAUUUUAGUCUGGAGUAUUACUCUCCUGCACUGAUAUCCUUGGGUUUUGCAGUUGUAUGCUAAUGAACCAAU